AUGAGAGCAAAAUGGGUCAUAACUGUAAAUUUUGUGGACUUCCCUUCAGUUCGGAGCUCUGCCACUGGUCCAUGUCAAAACAUUGGGGGUGACAUGAUUGGUAGCUGCAAGGGGAAGAGUGCCAUGCAAUCCUGCACCGAGGCCACGAACAAGAAGACGACGGAGGUGCUCCCAAGCAACAAGAGGAAGAAGGUCGGGGCAUCAUCAGUUUGCGCACCGUUGCUUCCUGAUGACAUGAUAUUGGAGGUUCUACUUCGGCUCCCAGUCAAGUCCAUUCUCUGCUUCCGGGCCGUUUGCCGCUCCUGGGCUGCAACGUUGUCCUCCAAGGAGUUCUGCAGCCUCCACAUGGCCACCUCUAAGGCAACACCACCAACGCCGAAGCUACUGAUGUUCUCACACGCAACAAGCUUUGGCUCUGCUGCCAUGUACUCAUGCUCGCCGUCAAGCCCCAUAGAUGACUUACUCUUCACCUUUGUCUGUCCCCACUCCGUGGAAGUAGUGACGCCCUCACCAUGCUGUGGACUCACCCUUCUAUACAGUGAUUUUGCGCCAGCUUACUAUGUUUGCAAUGCAGCUACACGGGCAAUCGCACGUCUGCCACCUCACCGCGUUCCAACAUACCGUUCCAGUGCUGGACUGGGGUUUGAUGCCCGGACAAGCGAGUACAAGGUCGUGAGGUUGAUCAAUGGGUUAUCUGAUGAGAAGGAGACGAUCAGGUGUGAUGUGUACACACGUGGAGCUGAUCACUGGAGGCCGGCGACUAGAGGAGUACCCUUCAAAUGGUCCCAGUUUGCAAAUUCUGCAGUUCGUCACGCAGCGAUGAACAAAAUACCACCUGUCUUUGCCAAUGGAUUUCUGCACUGGUUGAUCAAUCCUUCUAUUAUCGUCAAAAGGGCAAGCGCUGCUAUCAUAUCCUUUUCUGUCGCAGAGGAGACCUUCGGAUGUGUCCGUUCACCGCCGUUCUGGGGACCGAGAGAGCAUCUACCCUCCUCGUCCCAGUCAGAAGGAGAGCACCUGGUUGUGAUGGAUGACCAGCUAUGCAUUGUCCGAGACCUUCGCAACAUAAUCCCUCAUGGUAGCACCAUGGAGAUUUGGGGACUGCUGGAUUAUGGCUCCGGUGAUUGGUCGCUGAAUCAUCGAAUUGAUUUGUUUGGAAAGGUAAAAAGUGAAUUGGCCGAGCCACAGAUUGUGAGGGUUAUUGGUAGUGUUGGUAACUGUAAGUCGGGGAAGAAGAUUGUGAUUGCUACUAGCAAUCACUUGGUUCACGCUGAGUUUCAGAAAAAGGUUUACUCAUAUGAUCCUAGUUGUCAAGUUCUAGAGGGCUUCUUUCAGUCACCGAGGCACACGCCUUUUUUACAGGAUUCAUCCCUGGUUCAAGAUUCAGCUUACAUGAAGAGAGCCUUGCUCCAGUGCAUAAAAACCUGGCCUUCAAAAAUGUGCUAA
rnacentral:rRNA from 1 species